rnacentral:lncRNA from 1 species
GCAAGCCAGCCUGGGCUACAUUGUGAGACCCUGUCUAUAAAAAAUAAUCACACACACACACACACACACACACACACACACACACACACACACACACACACACACACCUAUGUAUAAAGGCACACACUUUAGGUAAGGGAGCAAUGGCGUUCAUAAAGACCAGUGUCUACAAUUUAUUCCAAUCAAUUUAUUUCCUCACUAGAGCUUUUCUUUUUCUUUUUCUUUUUUUAUCUUUUUUUAAGGAACUGUCAUUACUUCCCCCUCACCAUAGAAAGUAAUCCUUUUAUUGUCCCUACCUCAUGGCUUCACAACGGAUUGGGACAUACUGCCUUUUUUUUGUCUUGGUUAAAUUAGCUGGUGACAGUCAUCUGUGAUGUGUAAUCAAACACCUCUCUGUGGCAGUCUUCUAUUUUGGUACCUCUGUGUGAACAAGCGAGGGAAACUUGGUUACCAGACACAAGUGGGGUGGGUGGGGUGGAGUGGGGUGGGGCGGUUAGAUAGUGCUGGGAACUAGGUUCCACUCAUCCCAGUCUCUAAGAGUGAAACUGGGCUACUCCUGCAGCAGGCACAGAGCCAUGUGCAUACUUGAGCAAGAUCGUGUUGCAGGCGGGAGCGCUUAGCGUGAGUCUCAACCGGGUGUGGCGACCGGGUCGGCACCUGGAGUGGGCAUCAAAGGCAUCCGGCUCGGGAUUCCAAACGUGGGGCCAGGUGCGUUAUUGGCAUCUCUCUACUAGCUAACAUUCCCAAGGAAUGUUUGUUCCCCGAACUGCGUUAUGGUUUUCAUAAAGGAGGUGCUGUUUGGCUCCUGAUUCAACUAGGCUCUCCCUCCGGGUGCGGAUUCGUCGCGUGGGGUCGUUCCGACAGCAGAUGCGGAAAUAGACAGGCCUGGGCCGAGGUCGCAGCGUGGAACCAACAUGCUCGCUGGCUCACCAGAGCUGGGGGCGGAGAGUGGCCCAGGCGUGGGUUCUGGGCUGUGCGAAGAGACCUGGGAGGGGCGGAGCCUACUGGUUGGGCUUGGGGGCGUGACCAGGCCGAGAGGGGCGUGUCUCGGGGGUGGGGACAGCGGACCUGCGGGGGCGGGACGAAGAGGCCAGAGCUGGAGCCUCAAGGCCGCAGACUGCGAGUCUCCCAUCCCUGCGGGAGGCGGCGUGGCGGGCGGCCCAGGCAGGAUCAUACAGUUGUAGCUGUUUUCAACAAAGAUCAGUGAUGAAAAUUGUUGUUUUCAACAAGAUACCUCCAAGUUAAACAUGAAAGGAAAAUAUUGGAAUCAUUUCUGUUCUGACAAAAUAGAGAAUACAGCAUUUUCCAGCUAACGUGUGAUGGCACCUU